rnacentral:rRNA from 1 species
AGAUUGAACGCUGGCGGCAGGCCUAACACAUGCAAGUCGAGCGGUAGAGAGGUGCUUGCAUCUCUUGAGAGCGGCGGACGGGUGAGUAAUGCCUAGGAAUCUGCCUAGUGGUGGGGGAUAACGUUCGGAAACGGACGCUAAUACCGCAUACGUCCUACGGGAGAAAGCGGGGGACCUUCGGGCCUCGCGCCAUUAGAUGAGCCUAGGUCGGAUUAGCUAGUUGGUGAGGUAAUGGCUCACCAAGGCGACGAUCCGUAACUGGUCUGAGAGGAUGAUCAGUCACACUGGAACUGACGACACGGUCCAGACUCCGUACGGGAGCAGCAGGUGGGAAUAGUUGACUAAG